AGAGUUUGAUCCUGGCUCAGAGCGAACGCUGGCGGCAGGCCUAAAACAUGCAAGUCGAACGGAUCCUUCGGGAUUAGUGGCGGACGGGUGAGUAACACGUGGGAACGUGCCUUUUGGUUCGGAACAACUCAGGGAAACUUGAGCUAAUACCGAAUGUGCCCUUCGGGGGAAAGAUUUAUCGCCAUUAGAGCGGCCCGCGUCUGAUUAGCUAGUUGGUGAGGUAAAGGCUCACCAAGGCGACGAUCAGUAGCUGGUCUGAGAGGAUGAUCAGCCACACUGGGACUGAGACACGGCCCAGACUCCUACGGGAGGCAGCAGUUAGGAAUCUUGCGCAAUGGGCGAAAGCCUGACGCAGCCAUGCCGCGUGAAUGAUGAAGGUCUUAGGAUUG
rnacentral:rRNA from 1 species